UAUUAAACCCUGUGCACAACGUCAAAAUUCUUAUAAAUACUUCCGUAGACAUUGCUCGAAAUUCAACACCUAAAUCAUUCUCAAAAUUGUUGGUACUUUCAUAUAGUAUACUGUAUAGGUUAAGCAAUGGCAGCACUCUCAAUCUCCCUAAGGUCCGUAGUGAUAACACUUGUGAUCUAUGCUAUUCUCCUCUCUCCUUUGCUAUUAUCGUCAUGUGAUGCAGCUAGAGCCCCUCGAGUACUCUUGGGGAGCAGCAGAUUUCCCGUUGCAUGUCUUCACUGUGUGGGGUGUUGUGAACCAACACCCCCAGGUACCUGUUGUACCCGUUGUGGUUGUUGAAGAUCGCCAAUUUAGUCACCAUAUAUGCCUGUGAAGUCUGAAAUUUAUCUUUUGUACGAGUCAGAAGAAGUCUGAUCAGCAAAUUGGUGCGACUUGGAGUAAUAUGUGUAUGUUAUUCAAUAAAGAAACAACUUGGUUUCUUUAGGUUAUUUGGCCUGUUUCUGUACACUUGUUGGAAAUGUCGCGUUUGUAACGUUUAAUUAAUUAAGAGGAAAGCCUUAUGCGUUAUCUUUU